GCAGUCAUUGCGCAGGCACUUUGGUGACUCUAGAUAACCUUGGGCCAAUCACACGUCCGCGUGACGGCAAUGACGCAUUCGGAUGUCUGCCAUAUCAACUUUCAAAGGUACUUUCUGUGCUUACCAUGGUGACCACGGGUAAAGGGGAAUCAGGGUUCGAUUCCAGAGAGGGAGCCUGAGAAACGGCUACAACAUCAAAGGAAGGCAGCAGGCACGCAAAUUACCCACUUCCGACGCAGGGAGGUAGUGAC